rnacentral:rRNA from 1 species
GGGAAUAUUGCACAAUGGGCGAAAGCCUGAUGCAGCGACGCCGCGUGAGGGAUGACGGCCUUCGGGUUGNAAACCUCUUUCAGCAGGGACGAAGCGCAAUGACGGUACCUGCAGAAGAAGCACCGGCUAACUACGUGCCAGCAGCCGCGGUAAUACGUAGGGUGCAAGCGUUGUCCGGAAUUACUGGGCGUAAAGAGUUCGUAGGCGGUUUGUCGCGUCGUUUUGUGAAAAACCAGCAGCUCAACUGCUGGGCUUGCAGGCGAUACGGGCAGACUUGAGUACUGCAGGGGGAGACUGGAAUUCCUGGUGUAGCGGUGAAAUGCGCAGAUAUCAGGAGGAACACCGGUGGCGAAGGCGGGUCUCUGGGCAGUAACUGACGCUGGGAACNAAAGCGUGGGUAGCGAACAGGAUUAGAUACCCUGGUAGUCCACGCCGU